CUCCUUGGUCUUUUUGUAAAUAUCUGAAUACUUAAAAAGGAUAUUAGAUGUU
rnacentral:misc_RNA from 1 species